rnacentral:tRNA from 2 species
UCCCGGUUAGCUCAGUUGGUAGAGUGCUUUACUGGAAAUGGAGAGGUUCCUGGUUCGAUACCAGGACCAGGCG